rnacentral:rRNA from 1 species
GACGAACGCUGGCGGCGUGCCUAACACAUGCAAGUCGAACGGAAAGGCCCUGCUUUUGUGGGGUGCUCGAGUGGCGAACGGGUGAGUAACACGUGAGUAACCUGCCCUUGACUUUGGGAUAACUUCAGGAAACUGGGGCUAAUACCGGAUAGGAGCUCCUGCUGCAUGGUGGGGGUUGGAAAGUUUCGGCGGUUGGGGAUGGACUCGCGGCUUAUCAGCUUGUUGGUGGGGUAGUGGCUUACCAAGGCUUUGACGGGUAGCCGGCCUGAGAGGGUGACCGGCCACAUUGGGACUGAGAUACGGCCCAGACUCCUACGGGAGGCAGCAGUGGGGAAUAUUGCACAAUGGGCGGAAGCCUGAUGCAGCAACGCCGCGUGCGGGAUGUCGGCCUUCGGGUUGUAAACCGCUUUCGCCUGUGACGAAGCGUGAGUGACGGUAAUGGGUAAAGAAGCACCGGCUAACUACGUG